UACGAAGGGGGCUAGCGUUGUUCGGAUUUACUGGGCGUAAAGCGCACGUAGGCGGAUCGUUAAGUCGGGGGUGAAAUCCUGGAGCUCAACUCCAGAACUGCCUUCGAUACUGGCGAUCUUGAGUCCGGAAGAGGUGAGUGGAACUCCUAGUGUAGAGGUGGAAUUCGUAGAUAUUAGGAAGAACACCGGUGGCGAAGGCGGCCCACUGGAUCGGUACUGACGCUGAGGUGCGAAAGCGUGGGGAGCAAACAGG
rnacentral:rRNA from 1 species